UACGUAGGUGGCAAGCGUUGUCCGGAUUUACUGGGCGUAAAGGGCGUGCAGGCGGUUUGUUAAGUGCAGGGUGAAAGCUCCCGGCUCAACUGGGAGAGGUCCUUGCAUACUGGCGAACUCGAGGGAGGCAGAGGAAAGUGGAAUUCCCGGUGUAGUGGUGAUAUGCGUAGAGAUCAUGAGGAAGACCAGUGGCGAAGGCGGGUCUCUGGACAGUUCCUGACACUGAGACACGAAGGCCAGGGGAGCAAACGGG
rnacentral:rRNA from 1 species